UUUUAACCUCGUCUUCUGAUAUGAAUAUUUAAUGUAAACUGCGUCCGAAAAUGUCGAAUUAUAACCAACACCACCACCCCCCACCCCCCUCGUUCUUCGCUUAAAAAGGUUCUGUUCAAAAGAAAAAUUAGGCUUCUUUGAUGCUGUCGAUGGAAACCAAUACUGGUGUUCAUGUGUGACGAGCGGUCGUCUUUAGAAUGUAUUGGUCAAUUCCAACUUUGUGCCGAGUCGUCUGCACGACCGACUGUGUUCACACCACCACACACAGACCGACAUCAUCUCCCAUGGCAAUCUUGGAACUGUCAAUCUAACUUUUCUUUUGGUAACCUAGAAGUCAUAGGUUUCACUUCUAUGUAUAAUGAUUAAAGGGAAAAUCUGAA